AUACGUAGGGUGCAAGCGUUAAUCGGAAUUACUGGGCGUAAAGCGUGCGCAGGCGGUUUUGUAAGACAGUGGUGAAAUCCCCGGGCUCAACCUGGGAACUGCCAUUGUGACUGCAAGGCUGGAGUGCGGCAGAGGGGGAUGGAAUUCCGCGUGUAGCAGUGAAAUGCGUAGAUAUGCGGAGGAACACCGAUGGCGAAGGCAAUCCCCUGGGACUGCGCUGACGCUCAUGCACGAAAGCGUGGGGAGCAAACAGGAUUAGAUACCCUGGUAGUCCACGCCCUAAACGAUGUCAACUGGUUGUUGGGGAUUUAUUUUCUCAGUAACGAAGCAAACGCGUGAAGUUGACCGCCUGGGGAGUACGGCCGCAAGGUUAAAACUCAAAUGAAUUGACGGGG
rnacentral:rRNA from 1 species